rnacentral:rRNA from 1 species
GGAGGUGGGUUGGUGUUGGUGUGAAGGUGGGUUUAGAUUUUAUUGUAUGUGGAUGUUUUUGAGGUGGAGAGGCGUAGAAGGGCUGUGUGGUUGUGUGGAGUGGGUGUAUUUGGUUGGGUUAUUUGGUUGUACUUGUAUGGGUGUUUGUGAGGUAUUUGUUGGUGUUGAGUAUGUGUGUUGUUUCGAUUUGUUGAGGUGUGGAGUGAGGGGUGUUGAAAGCGGGACGGCACGAUGAUUUUUUUGUAGAGAGGGUGAGGUGGGGCCGUGUGUUGUGGGGUGUGUGGAGAGGAAAAUAUAUGUGGUGUGAUUGUGUGGCGGAUAAGGGUUAAUGGUUGAUGUAAAUAGGGUGUGUGGUGGGGUGUGGUUGGUAUUGGUCGGAGUGGAGUAGAGCGGAGGAUGGUGGUUAGUUGAUAAGAAUGAUAGGCUAUAUGGUUGUAUUAUGAAUUGUUGUUUGUAUUGGAUGUGGUGGGUGAGUGAAAAUUGUUAAUGUGUGUAGUGUGUUUUAGAUAGUUUGUUUGAUAGUCUGAGAAGAGGUUGAGGGUGGUUGGGUUAGGGAUGGGUUGGAGGUGAGUGUGUGUUGAGUGAUGAUAGUAGGUGUGAGGUGAGGUAAUUAGAGUAUGAGUUCUAUUAAGGAGUGGAUGAAUUGUGAAUGAAUGAAUGUAUGAUAAUAUUUGUUUAUUGUAUUAUUUAUUGAUGAUUGAUGAUCUGAUGUAUUGAGAUAUUUGAUAGAUCCAUUAUCGAAGAGAUAAAGGUUAGAGUGAAGACAUUGUAUAUAUUGUUUUAGGUGUGGUAUGUUGUGAUUAGAUAAAAAUAAGUAUAGAGAAGAAUAAUUUAGGAUGAAAUAAAUGAAUAUUGUAGGAAUGCAGAGAGGAUACAAGUAUGAUGAAUUGUGUGCGGGAUGAGAUAUGUUUGUUUGAGAAGAUAUUAUGAAAUAUGAAUUGAGGUGUUAUUUAUUUGUGUUCAUAAUUUGUAUUUUUGGUAUGGUUCUGUAGUAGUAGUGAAUAUGUGUGCGGUUGAACUAAGGCCACUUUGAUUUUAUUUCGUUUUAGUUGUUUUUUUUAUAGGUGUGUGUGAAAUUAGUAUUCUUUAUUUUUCUGAUAACGUAAUAAUUUAUUUUUUUUUUAUUAUGAUGAUGGUUUAUUCUGUGUGUGUUAUAUCUUAAUGAGUUUAAUUUUUGUUGUAAUUUAUCUAGCAUUGAGGUGGAUUCUAUUUUUAAUUGAUAUUAUAUUGUUAUAUGUGUAUGUGAUAGGUUGUGGUGAUGGGAGUGUGUAGGA